rnacentral:rRNA from 1 species
UACGUAGGGGGCAAGCGUUGUCCGGAUUUAUUGGGCGUAAAGAGCUCGUAGGCGGCUUUGUAAGUUAGAGGUGAAAGCCCGGAGCUCAACUCCGGAACUGCCUUUAAGACUGCAUCGCUUGAAUCCAGGAGAGGUGAGUGGAAUUCCGAGUGUAGAGGUGAAAUUCGUAGAUAUUCGGAAGAACACCAGUGGCGAAGGCGGCUCACUGGACUGGUAUUGACGCUGAGGUGCGAAAGCGUGGGGAGCAAACAGG